GCCUCGGUGGUGUAGUGGUUAGAGCAUGCGUCCCCGGAUAGGAUGAAACACGGGUUCGAUUCCCGCCUGAGGCC